AACUUUAUAGUUUAAUUGAAAAUAAUAAGUUGCAAGCUUAGGGUUAUAUUUUUAUAUUAAAGUUU
rnacentral:tRNA from 1 species